rnacentral:rRNA from 1 species
AUGCACGCUGGCGGCGUGCCUAAUACAUGCAAGUCGAGCGAACAGACGAGGAGCUUGCUCCUCUGACGUUAGCGGCGGACGGGUGAGUAACACGUGGAUAACCUACCUAUAAGACUGGGAUAACUUCGGGAAACCGGAGCUAAUACCGGAUAAUAUAUUGAACCGCAUGGUUCAAUAGUGAAAGACGGUUUUGCUGUCACUUAUAGAUGGAUCCGCGCCGCAUUAGCUAGUUGGUAAGGUAACGGCUUACCAAGGCAACGAUGCGUAGCCGACCUGAGAGGGUGAUCGGCCACACUUGAACUGAGACACGGUCCAGACUCCUAAGGGAGGCAGCAGUAGGGAAUCUUCCGCAAUGGGCGGAAGCUUGACGGAGCAACGCCGCGUGAGUGAUGAAGGUCUUCGGAUCGUAAAACUCUGUUAUUAGGGAAGAACAAAUGUGUAAGUAACUAUGCACGUCUUGACGGUACCUAAUCAGAAAGCCACGGCUAACUACGUG